AGGGGAGGAGGCAGCCUCAAACCCUCAAGGUUUGGCCGAAAUUGGAGGUGGAGGAGUCCUACUCCAAUCCUACUUGGAGUAGGAUUCCACCUUCCCACUUGGAAACUCUUUCCACCUUGUGUUUUUUCCUUCUCAAACCUUAUGGGCCUUAGUGGGAACUUAUUCCAGCCCACUAGGGGCUGGUUUAUCUCUUACCAUAGCCCAUGAGACCCCUUGGGGCGUGACACCCCUCUCGAUGGUCACCGGCACCCCUCCCGGCACUCCUAGUACACUACCGAUGAGCUCGGAACUUUUCCGGUGACCAAAACAGGACUUCCUAUAUAUCAAUCUUUACCUCCAAACAAUUCCGGAGGUCCUCGUGAUGUCAUGGAUCUCAUCUGGGACUCCGAAAAAUUUCGGUUACCAACACCUAUAACUCAACUAUACCGAAACAUCGUCGAACCUUAAGUGUGCAGACCCUGCGGGUUCGAGAACUAUGUAGACAUGCCCCGAGGUACUCCUCGGUCAAUAUCCAACAACGGGACCUGGAUGCCCAUAUUGGAUCCUACAUAUUCUCCGAAGAUCUUAUCGGUUGAACCUCAGUGUCAAGGAUUCAUGUAAUCCCGUAUGUCAUUCCCUUUGUCCUUCGGUAUGUUACUUGCCCGAGAUUUGAUCGUCGGUAUCCGCAUACCUAUUUCAAUCUCGUUACCGGCAAGUCUCUUUACUCAUUCUGUAAUACAAGAUCAUGUGAAUUACACUUAGUAACAUUGCUUGCAAGGCUUGUGUGUGAUGUUGUAUUACCGAGUGGGCCCCGAGAUACCUCUCCGUCACAUGGAGUGAAAAAUCCCAGUCUUGAUCCAUACUAACUCAACGGACACCUUCGGAGAUACCUGUAAAGCACCUUUAUAGUCACCCAGUUACGUUGUGACGUUUGAUACACACAAGGCAUUCCUCCGGUGUUAGUGAGUCAUAUGAUCUCAUGGUCAUAGGAAUAAAUAGUUGACACGCAGAAAAACAGUAGCAACAAAAUGACACGAUCAACAUGCUACGUUCAUUAGUUUGGGUCUAGUCCAUCACAUGAUUGUCCUAAUGAUGUGAUCCCGUUAUCAAGUGACAACACUUGCCUAUGGUCAGGAAACCUUGACCAUCUUUGAUCAACGAGCUAGUCAACUAGAGGCUUACUAGGGACAGUGUUUUGUCUAUGUAUCCACACAAGUAUUGUGUUUCCAAUCAAUACAAUUAUAGCAUGGAUAAUAAACGAUUAUCAUGAACAAAGAAAUAUAAUAAUAACUAAUUUAUUAUUGCCUCUAGGGCAUAUUUCCAACAGUCUCCCACUUGCACUAGAGUGAAUAAUCUAGUUCACAUCACCAUGUGAUUUCAACGAAUCCAACACCCAUAUAGUUCUGGGGUCUGAUAAUGUCUUGCUUGUGAGAGAGGUUUUAGUCAACGGUUCUGAAACUUUCAGAUCCGUGUGUUCUUUACAAAUAUUUAUGUCAUCUUUAUAGAUGCUGCUACUACGUGCUAUUCGGAAAUACUCCAAAUAUCUACUCUACUAUACAAAUCCGUUUCACUACUCAUAGUUAUUCGGAUUAGUGUCAAAGCUUGCAUCGACGUAACUCUUUACGACAAACUCUUUAACCACCUCCAUAAUCGAGAAAAAAAUCCUUAGUACAUUUAGUUACCAAGGAUAAUUUUGAACGCUGCUAGUGAUUCAAUCAUGGAUCACUCUUUGUACCUCUCAACAGACUUUGAGGCAAGGCACACAUCAGGUGCGGUACUCAGCAUGGCAUACUUCAGAUUCUACGGCCAAGGCAUAGAAGACGACCUUCAUCUAUUCUCUUUGUUCUGUCGUGGUCGUGUUUUGAGUCUUACUCAAAUUCACACCUUACAACACAACCAAGAACUCCUUCUUUGCUGAUCUAUUUUGAACUCCUUCAAAAACUUGUCAAGGCAUGCAUCUUGUUGAAACUUCUAUUAAGCGUUUCGAUUUAUCUCCAUAGAUCUUGAUGCUCAACGUUCAAGUAGCGCAUUCCAGGUAUUCCUUUGAAAAACUCCUUUCAAACAACCUUUUAUGCUUUACAGAAAUUCUACAUUACUUCUGAACCACAAUAUGUCAACCACAUAUACUUAUCAGAAUUUCUAUAGUGCUCCCACUCACUUCUUUGGAAAUACAAGUUUCUCAUAAACCUUGUACAAACCCAAAAUCUUUGAUCAUCUCAUCAAAGUGUAUAUUCCAACUCCGAGAUGCUUGCACCAGUCCAUUGAAGGAUCGCUGGAGCUUGCAUACUUGUUAGUAUCUUUAGGAUCGACAAAACCUUCUCGUUGUAUCACAUACAAUCUUUCCUCAAGGAAACCGUCAAGGAAACAAUGUUUUGACCUCCUAUGUGCAAUAUUUCAAAAAUAAUGUAGCAACUACUAACAUAAUUCUAAUAGACUUUUAGCAUCGCUACGAGUGAGAAAGUCACAUCAUAGUCAACUCUUUGAUCUUGUCGAAAACAUCUUUGCGACAAGUCGAGCCUUUCUUAAUAGUGACUUAUCACCAUCAUCGUCUGUCUUCCUUUUAAAGAUCCAUCUUUACUUAAUAGUCUUACUACCAUCAAGUAGUUCUUCCAAAGUCUACACUUUGUUUUCAUACAUGGAUCCUCUCUCGAAUUUCAUGGCCUCCAGCCAUUUGUCAGAAUCCGGGCCCACCAUCGCUUCUCCAUAGCUCGUAGGUUCAUUGUUGUUCAACAACAUGACCUCCAAGACAGGGUUACCGUACCACUCUGCAGUAGUAUUCGACCUUGUCGACCUACGAGGUUUGUAGUAACUUGAUCCGAAGCUCAAUGAUCACCAUUAUUAGUUUCUACUUCAAUUGGUGUAGGUGCCACAGGAACAUUUUUCUGCACCCUGCUACACACUGGUUGAAGUGACGGUUCACUAAGCUCAUCAAGUUCCACCACCCUCCCACUCAAUUCUUUCGAUAGAAACAUUUCCUAGAGAAAGGACCCGUUUCGAGAAACAAAUACUUUGCUUCCGGAUCUGAGAUAGGAGAUGUAUCCAACUGUUUUGGAUAUCCUAUGAAGAUGCAUUUAUCCGCUUUGGGUUCGAGCUUAUCACACUGAAACUUUUUCACAUAAGCGUCGCAGCCCCAAACUUUUAAGAAACGACAAGUCAGGUUUCUCCAAACCAUAAUAUAUACAGUGUCAUCUCAACGGAAAUACGCGGUGCCCUAUUUAAAGUGAAUGCGGUUGUCUCUAAAGCAUAACCCAUAAACGAUAGUGGUAAUUCGAUAAGAGACAUCAUAGUAUGUACCAUAUCAAAAUAGGGCGUAGCUAUGACGUUCGGACACACCAUCACACUAUGGUGUUCUAGGUGGCAUGAAUUGCAAAACGAUUUUUAUUUUGUCCUAACUGUGUACCAAAAACUCGUAACUCAGAUAUUCAUCUCUAUGAUCAUAUCGUAGACAGUUUAUCCUCUUGUCACGACGAUCUUCUCACUGAAAUUACUUUGAAAUUUUCAAUAUUUCAGACUUGUGAUUCAUCAAGUAAAUACUCGUGUAUCUACUCAAAUCGUCGGUGAAGUAAGAACAUAACGAUAUCCACUGCGUGCCUUAGCACUCAUUGGACUGCACACAUAAAAAAUGCAUUACUCUCAACAAGUUACUCUCUUGUUUCAUGUGGCAUGUUUUGUAUGUCUCAAGUGAUUCAAAAUCAAGUGAGUCCGAAUGAUCCAUCUCUAUGGAGCUUCUUCAUUCAUUUUAUACCAACAUGACUCAAGUGGCAGUGCCACAACUAAGUGGUACUAUCAUUAUUACUUCGUAUCUUUUGGCACCAAUAUUAUGAACAUGUGUAACACUACGAUCGAGAUUCAAUAAACCAUUGAGGGUAAUUAUUCAAGAAAAUAGAAUAACUAUUAUUCUCUUUAAAUGAAUAAUCGUAUUUCAAUAAACACGAUCCAAUCAUGUUCAUGCUCAACGCAAACACCAAAUAACAAUUAUUUAGGUUUUACCACCAAUCCCGAUGAUAGAGGGAGCGUGCGAUGUUUGAUCACAUCAACCUUGGAAACACUUCCAACACGUAUCGUCACCUCACCUUUAGCUAGUCUCCGUUUAUACCUUAGAUUUCAUUUUGAGCUAAUCACUUAGCAACCGAACCGGUAUCCAAUACCCUCGUGCUACUAGGAGUACUAGUAAAGUACACAUUAAUAUCAUGUAUAUCAAAUAUACUUUUGUCGACUUUGCCAGCCUUCUUAUCUACCAAGUAUCUAGGGUAGCUCCGCCUCAGUGACCGUUCCCCUCAUAACAGAAGCACUUAGUCUCGGGUUUGGGUUCAAUUUUGGGUUUCUUCAUUAGAGCAGCAACUGGUUUGCCGUUUCAUGAAGUAUCCCUUCCAGCCCUUGCCCUUCUCAAAACUAGUGGUUUUACUAACCAUCAACAAUUGAUGCUCCUUCUUGAUUUCUACUUUCGCAGUGUGAAACAUUGCGAAUCACUCAAGGAUCAUCAUAUCUAUCCUUGAUUUGUUUAUAGUUCAUCACUAAGAUCUAGCAGCUUAGUGGCAGUGACUUUGGAGAACCAUCACUAUCUCAUCUGGAAGAUUAACUCCCACUUGAUUCAAGCAAUUGUUGUACUCAGACAAUCUGAGAAGAUGCUCAACGAUUUGAGCUUUUCUCCUUUACUUUGUAGGCAAAGAAUCUUAUCGGAGGUCUUAUACCUCUCAACAAGGGCACGAGGAUGAAACCUCAAUUUCAUCUCUUAGAACAUCUCUUAUGUUCAGCGAUGUCUCAAAACGUCUUUGGCGCCUUGCUUCUAAGCUUUUAAGUAUUGCGUACUGAACUAUCACGUAGUCAUCAAAUACGUGUAUGUUAGAUGUUCGCAACAUCCACAGACGACGCUCGAGGUGCAGCACACCGAGUGGUGCAUUAAGGACAUAAGCCUUCUGCACAGUAAUGAGGACAAUCCUCAGUUUUACGGACUCGGUCCGCAAAGUUGCUACUAUCAACUUUCAACUAAAUUUUCUCUAGGAACAUAUAAAAACAGUAGAGCUAUAGCGCAAGCUACAUCGUAAUUCGCAAGGACCAUUAGACUAUGUUCAUGAUAAUUAGUUCAAUUAAUCAUAUUACUUAAGAACUCCCACUCAAAAAGUACAUCUCUCUAGUCAUUUGAGUGGUACAUGAUCCAAAUCCACUAUCUCAAGUGCGAUCAUCACGUGAGUCGAGAAUAGUUUCAGUGGUAAGCAUCUGUAUGCUAAUCAUAUCAACUGUACGAUUCAUGCUCGACCUUUCGGUCUUUUGUGUUCCGAGGCCAUGUCUGCACAUGCUAGGGUCGUCAAGUUUAAACCGAGUGUUCCGCGUGUGCAACUGUUUUGCACCCGUUGUAUGUGAACGUUGAGACUAUCACACCCGAUCAUCACGUGGUGUCUCGAAAUGACGAAGUGUCGCAAUGGUGCACAGUCGGGGAGAACACAAUUUCAUCUUGAAGUUUUAGUUAGAGAUCACCUCAUAAUNNNNNNNNNNNNNNNNNNNNNNNNNNNNNNNNNNNNNNNNNNNNNNNNNNNNNNNNNNNNNNNNNNNNNNNNNNNNNNNNNNNNNNNNNNNNNNNNNNNNNNNNNNNNNNNNNNNNNNNNNNNNNNNNNNNNNNNNNNNNNNNNNNNNNNAUGCUACCGUCGUUCUAAGCAAAAUAAGGUGCAUAAAAGGAUUAACAUCACAUGCAAUUCAUAAGUGACAUGAUAUGGCCAUCAUCAUGUGCUUCUUCAUCUCCAUCACCAAAGCACCAGCACGAUCUUCUUGUCACCGGCGCCACACCAUGAUCUCCAUCAACGUGUCGCCAUCGGGGUUGUCGUGCUACUCAUGCUAUUACUACUAAAGCUAUGUCCUAGAAAUAUAGUAAACGCAUCUGCAAGCACAAACGUUAGUUUAAAGACAACCCUAUGGCUCCUGCCGGUUGCCGUACCAUCGACGUGCAAGUCGAUAUUAACUAAUACAACAUGAUCAUCUCAUACAUCCAAUAUAUCACAUCACAUCAUUGGCCAUAUCAAACCACAAGCAUACCGUGCAAAAACAAGUUAGACGUCCUCUAAUUGUUGUUGCAUGUUUUACUUGGUUGCUAUGGGUAUCUAGUAGAUCGCAUCUUACUUACGCAAAAACCACAACGGAGAUGUGAAAAUUGCUAUUUAACCUCUCCAAGGACCGCCUCAGUCAAUACCAAUUCAACUAAAGUUGAAGAAACAGACACCCGCCAGUCAUCUUUAUGCAACGAGGUUGCAUGUUAAGCGAAGAAACCAGUCUUUCGUAAGCGUACGAAUAAUGUCGGUCCGGGCCGCUUCAAUCCAACAAUACCAUCGAAUUGAGAAAAGACUAAGGAGGGCAGCUAAUCGAACAUCACCGUACACAAAACCCUUUGUGUUCUACUCGAUAUAACAUCUACGCAUGAACCUAGCUCAUGAUGCCACUUUUGGGGAACGUCGCAUGGGAAACAAAAAAUUUCCUGCGCGCACGAAGACCUAUCAUGGUGAUGUCCAUCUAUGAGAGAGGAUUUCCGAUCUACGUACCCUUGUAGAUUGCAUCGCAGGAAGUGUUAAGAAACGCGGUUGAUGUAGUGGAACGUCUUCAUGUCCCUCGAACCGCCCCACGAACCGCCCCACGAACCGUCCCGCGAUCCGUCCCAUGAUCCGCUCCGAUCUAGUGCCGAACGGACGGCACCUCCGCGUUCAACACACGUACAACUGGACGAUGAUCUCGGCCUUCUUGAUACAGCAAGAGAGACGGAGAGGUAGAUGAGUUCUCCGGCAGCGUGAUGGCGCUCCGGAGGUUGGUGGUGAUCUUAUCUCAGCAGGGCUCCGCCCGAGCUCCGCAGAAACGCGAUCUAGAGGAAAGACCGUGGAGGUUUGUGGUGGGGCUGCCGUGGCAAAGUUGUGUCUAAAAACGCUCAAUACCUCUAGUAUAUAUAGGAGGGAGGGAGGGGAGGAGGCAGCCUCAAACCCUUAAGGUUUGGCCGAAAUUGGAGGUGGAGGAGUCCUAUUCCAAUCCUACUUGGUGUAGGAUUCCACCUUCCCACUUGGAAACUCUUUCCACAUUCUGUUUUUUCCUUCUCAAACCUUAUGGGCCUUAGUGGGAACGUAUUCCAGCCCACUAGGGGCUGGUUUAUCUCUUCCCAUAGCCCAUGAGACCCCUUGGGGCGUGACACCCCUCCCGAUGGUCCCCGGCACCCCUCCCGGCACUCCCGGUACACUACAGAUGAGCCCGAAACUUUUCCGGUGACCAAAACAGGGCUUCCUAUAUAUCAAUCUUUACCUCCAGACCAUUCCGGAGCUCCUC
rnacentral:lncRNA from 1 species